rnacentral:rRNA from 1 species
GACGAACGCUGGCGGCGUGCCUAACACAUGCAAGUCGAGCGGGGUAGCCGGAAGGUGUAGCGAUACAGCGGAGGGGUACCUAGCGGCGAACGGGUGAGUAACGCGUGGGCAAUCUGCCCCCGGGGGCGGGAUAACAGACCGAAAGGCCUGCUAAUACCGCAUGAAGCCGUCCUAUCGCAUGAUAAGACGGUAAAAGGGGAAACCCGCCUGGGGAGGAGCCCGCGUCCCAUUAGCUAGUUGGUGGUGUAAAGGACCACCAAGGCGAUGAUGGGUAGCCGGCCUGAGAGGGUGAACGGCCACAUUGGGACUGAGAUACGGCCCAAACUCCUACGGGAGGCAGCAGCUAAGAAUAUUCCGCAAUGGACGAAAGUCUGACGGAGCGACGCCGCGUGGAUGAUGAAGGCCGGAAGGUUGUAAAAUCCUUUUGUCGGGGAAGAAUAAGCAUGGGAGGGAAUGCCCGUGUGAUGACAUGAACCGGCGAAUAAGCCCGGCUAACUACGUGCCAGCAGCCGCGGUAAACUGU